rnacentral:misc_RNA from 1 species
GUGAAUCAUCGAAUUUUUGAACGCAAAUUGCACUCUCUUCGGAGAGUAUGCCUGUUUGAGGGUCAGCCUAAAAAAAAUCGACAUCGUUGCUGUUUCGCGGUGACGUUCGUCGGAAAUUGGGUCAUCUUAAACCCUUUGGGUUUUAAGCGACUUAAUAUUUUCUUUUUGUUUCCAUGAACGUUUCUAAUAUUUAUUUCUUUACACGUUUAAGGUAUCGAUUUUUAUUAGACGUGACUAUCAUAUCGGAGCGCGUCCA